GAUGAACGCUGGCGGCGUGCCUAAUACAUGCAAGUCGAGCGAACAGAUGAGGAGCUUGCUCCUCUGACGUUAGCGGCGGACGGGUGAGUAACACGUGGAUAACCUACCUAUAAGACUGGGAUAACUUCGGGAAACCGGAGCUAAUACCGGAUAAUAUAUUGAACCGCAUGGUUCAAUAGUGAAAGACGGCUUUGCUGUCACUUAUAGAUGGAUCCGCGCCGCAUUAGCUAGUUGGUAAGGUAACGGCUUACCAAGGCAACGAUGCGUAGCCGACCUGAGAGGGUGAUCGGCCACACUGGAACUGAGACACGGUCCAGACUCCUACGGGAGGCAGCAGUAGGGAAUCUUCCGCAAUGGGCGAAAGCUUGACGGAGCAACGCCGCGUGAGUGAUGAAGGUCUUCGGAUCGUAAAACUCUGUUAUUAGGGAAGAACAAAUGUGUAAGUAACUAUGCACGUCUUGACGGUACCUAAUCAGAAAGCCACGGCUAACUACGUG
rnacentral:rRNA from 1 species